rnacentral:rRNA from 1 species
ACUCGAGUGGCGAACGGGUGAGUAACACGUGGGUGAUCUGCCCUGCACUUCGGGAUAAGCUUGGGAAACUGGGUCUAAUACCGGAUGGGAGCCAUCUUUAAUGUGGUGGUUGGAAAGUUUUUCGGUGUAGGAUGAGCUCGCGGCCUAUCAGCUUGUUGGUGGGGUAAUGGCCUACCAAGGCGGCGACGGGUAGCCGGCCUGAGAGGGUGUACGGCCACAUUGGGACUGAGAUACGGCCCAG